rnacentral:tRNA from 1 species
AGCGCGUUAGCUCAGUUGGUUAGAGCGCGCCCCUGAUAAGGGCGAGGUCGUAGGUUCAAAUCCUGCACGCGCUACCA